UCCGAAAUUACGUCACAACUAUCUCUAAGUUAUCUCUAAGUUAUUCAAAUUUCAAACAACUCCAUCCCUCAUCUCUUAUACCGCACAAACGGCAGAGCAUAGAGCACAAACGGCAGUCAUCUCUGAUACGCAACCCCUAAUCUACCAGCUCUCUCUCAUUCCCUCAUCUCUUAUACCCAAUACCCAACCCUAAUUUCAGCCCCAAAUCUCUGAUACGCAGCCCCUAAUCUACCAGCCAGAGCAUAGAGCACAAACGGCAGUCAUCUCUCUCUCUUCUACUCUCCUGUCGACGUAGCAACGAUUCGCCGGUGCGAUAACGGCAGCGUAGCAUACACAGUCGCUAUUGAGCAAACAAGAUUGAGAAAGCACAAAAAACCGACCAUGAAUGAGAAAGCCAAAGACUCCAAAAAUACCAAACACCGAAAGGUUUUAUUCUUGAUUUUUUAUCAUAUUUUGGUGGUAUUGCUUCGAUAUGCAAUUAUUAGUCAUUUAUUUCGAUUUUAUAGUUUGGAUUGAAAUUCUUUUGGUGAAAUACUUCGAUAUGAUACUGUUUGUUCGAGAGGAUUUUCAAGAGCUGCAUUUCCUCAAUGACAAUAUAACAGUUCUGGAGUUGAUGGGUGUGCUUCUGUCCGAAGUAUUUAGCUAAUAAUUUUUAUUUUUUUAAAAUCUUUCCGACCCCCAGGAUUACUUGCUCAUAUUAUGCUCCAAGAAGCUUUUGGGUGCUCCAUAUUCUGUUUGCUUACUUGUGAGUCUAGAUACUAAGUGAGAAAGAUGCAAAAUUUCUAAUUCAGUUCAGUUUCACAAGCUUUGUUUAGUUGGGAAAAUAUUCAAUUGAUUUUUUUUGGCAGAGCAAUUAUUUAUAGGAUGUUACAAGGUGCUAUUUUGGUCCUCUGAAAAAUGACCUGGUGAACAAAAUGUCAUGGCGAUGAAGAUGCAUGAUAAAAUCACUUUAAUUUCUCGGUAAUCAGAAUUACACUAGAUAAAUGUACCUAAAAGUUGAAAAGAUCCCAGUAUGUAAUAGGAACUUUGGCUUUUGAAAUUUGGGAAACAUUGGGUCAAAUAUGUGGUUGGGUUUUCCAAUUCGUAAUUUACUUCACGUGUGAGAGUCUAAAUUGAAAAUAUAGCCAGACAAUUACUAACGGCACCUUGAAUUUUUCUGACCCAAGAGAUAUAUCUGCCUUAUUCUUAGUUAGUGCUGAUGAUAAAGUCAGAUACAAAAGGAAUAUAAAACAUGCAAAUAUAAGGAGCAACUCUAAUAUACAUGCAAAUAUAAUGAGGUUAUAUCUGGGUGCAAUACAUUUGUUAGUCAUAAGGAGUCAAUAUCUUUUAACCACAAUUAUUAUUGGAUAGAGAGAGAAGAUUAUGAGCUUUCUGGAAAUCUUCAAUUAUUAUUAAAAUUUCCUAAUUUGAUGAUUUUGUUCCUUUUAUGAUACAUUUUAAAAAGGUUAUGUUCGUUGAGAGGUUGUUUCUAGAACCCUCACAUAUGGACACCGUCUUUGGUCAUGCCACAUGAUCUGCCUACUUCUUGGACUUAUCCUUUACCUUUCUGUUGUAAUCUUCGCACAUCAUCUAUAAUAGACAAAUGUCACAUCUCAAACCUACGUCAGCAGCUCUCUCUCUCACUUGUUCAAAUUUCAAAUCGUGUAUCUCUCUUUCUUCUACUAGAAACAGAGCUCUCUCUCAAAACUCCGUCCCUCAAAACUCUCUUAAAUCUCUUAUACCCGGCCCUAAUUUCAGCCCCAAAUCUCUCAUACCCAACCCUAAAUCUCAUACCAAGCCCCUAAUCUACCAGCCAGAGCAUAGCGAAACGGUGUGAUAAUCUGCAAUUUCAACCCCAAGUCGCAGUCAUCGUAGCAUACACAGUCGCAAUUUUAGCCCAAUCUCAGUCGCUAUACACAGUCGCUAUACACAGUCGCUAUUAGAGAGCACAAAAGUUUGAAGUGCAACCGACCAUGAAUGAGAAAGCCAGAGUCUCCAAACACCGAAAGGUUUUAUCCUUUUUUUUCUGUUUUACAGCUUGAUUUUAUUACCCUUUUCUUAAUUUUGAGCUUAGUUUGGUUCCUGGAUCAUUAUUAGGCAUUUCAUAAGAUGCUUGUCUGAAUUUUCAUAAACUAUCGGUUUCAUUUUUAUGGCAGGGUUAAAAGUUCUCUUUUUAGUCUUUGUGUUCUUCUUAUUAAUAGGUUCUUGAUUUUUCAGGAUUUGAUAGUACCAAGUAGAAAUUUAGAUUCCUUUUCUUUUUUCUUUAAGUUAUAGUAUGCCUCUAAGUUCAGUUUUCUUAUUACGAAACUUCCAAGUUUUCUUAAGUUAAAGUAUGCCUCUAACUACACAUAGUGAUUGCAGAAAAAGAAAAUGUAGAGUUUUUACUUUUGUUUGCAGGAGUAGUUGAAGACAUCAUUCAGACUCAAAUCCAUGGUGAUUUGAGUAUGCAAUAUAUGGAUAUGUAUGAUUCAUAUAUGGAUUUGAUUGUGGUAUCAUUCUUGAAGGCAUAAAGCUAAGUUUAAUGUAUCAUCUAGACUAAGUUUGAGCAUGAUUUAAAUUUGUAUUGGAACUUUAAGAGUUUAGUAUUUACAGCUAGGGCUCUACCAAGUUUGCUUAUGUUUAAAUUAGAUAUUAUUUAUAGUACCUUAGGUUAUUAAUUGUAUAUCAUUCAAUCCCAAAAUGUUUUUGCUUAAAAGACAUAAUUUAAGUACAAAGAAAAAAAGAUAUAAA
rnacentral:lncRNA from 1 species